UAGGGAAUCUUCCACAAUGGGCGAAAGCCUGAUGGAGCAACGCCGCGUGAGUGAAGAAGGUUUUCGGAUCGUAAAGCUCUGUUGUUGGUGAAGAAGGAUAGAGGUAGUAACUGGCCUUUAUUUGACGGUAAUCAACCAGAAAGUCACGGCUAACUACGUGCCA
rnacentral:rRNA from 1 species